rnacentral:rRNA from 1 species
GAUGAACGCUGGCGGCGUGCCUAAUACAUGCAAGUCGAGCGACCGGACGAGAAGCUUGCUUCUCUGAUGUUAGCGGCGGACGGGUGAGUAACACGUGGAUAACCUACCUAUAAGACUGGGAUAACUUCGGGAAACCGUAGCUAAUACCGGCUAAUAUUUUGAACGGCAUGGAUCAAAAGUGAAAGACGGUCUUGCUGUCACUUAUAGAUGGAUCCGCGCUGCAUUAGCUAGUUGGUAAGGUAACGGCUCACCAAGGCAACGAUGCAUAGCCGACCUGAGAGGGUGAUCGGCCACACUGGAACUGAGACACGGUCCAGACUCCUACGGGAGGCAGCAGUAGGGAAUCUUCCGCAAUGGGCGCAAGCCUGACGGAGCAACGCCGCGUGAGUGAUGAAGGUCUUCGGAUCGUAAAACUCUGUUAUUAGGGAAGAACAUAUGUGUAAGUAACUGUGCACAUCUUGACGGUACCUAAUCAGAAAGCCACGGCUAACUACGUG